rnacentral:lncRNA from 1 species
GUUUAAUCGAUUAAAACAGCUUGUGGAUGAUUCUCAACAGUAAAUAAAUCAAAUAUAAAUUACAAGAAUCAACCCUAAUACAUAUUUGAGCACUAUUACAUCAACUUUGAUUAUUAUAAAAGCUUUAUAAAAUACAGAGAUCUUCAAUUCGUCUUUAUGGAUCUUGACUUGUGCAAAUCUGUUCAUCAUCAAAACUUCAUCUUUUAUUUUUGCUAACAUUCUCCCCCUUUUUGAUGAUGAUCAAAAACUAUCUCCAAGUUUAAAGCUUUUUAAUAAUCUAUAACAAACACAACUCAUAAAGGAAGAGAGCAUUAGAAAAUAAAAGGAUCUUUAAACUAUUUUCUCCCCCUUUUUUGAUCAUAAGAAAAAAAUUAUAUUUAAUAAAUUUCUCCCCC